AGCAGAGUUGCCCUGUAGCCUCGUCGGCAAAGAGCAGGAAAUUCUGAAAAAAGCCUUAAAAAUGCUCCGAAACAGGAGGGAGGACCUCCGAAGGUCAGGAAAGAAGAGAGAAGGACUUCAGCUUCACUCCAACGACGUGUAAGACUAAUGAAAAAAGGUGGGAGAACAGUGGCCCUUGGAGAAAGAACAGAAGCACUUGAGGUUUGCCUCCAGG